AGCGGUGUGCCUUAGUGGAAAGGGCACGGGCUUGGGAGUCAGAGGCCGUGGGUUCUAAUCCCACCUCUGCCA
rfam:Ornithorhynchus anatinus chromosome 7, whole genome shotgun sequence.